rnacentral:rRNA from 1 species
UACGUAGGGGGCUAGCGUUGUCCGGAUUUAUUGGGCGUAAAGAGCGUGUAGGCGGCCAGGUAGGUCUGCUGUGAAAACUCGAGGCUCAACCUCGAGACGUCGGCGGAAACCAUCUGGCUAGAGUCCGGAAGAGGAGAGUGGAAUUCCUGGUGUAGCGGUGAAAUGCGCAGAUAUCAGGAGGAACACCUAUUGCGAAGGCAGCUCGCUGGGACGCAACUGACGCUGAGACGCGAAAGCCAGGGGAGCAAACGGG